UUUUUCAGAAAUAAUGGGAUAUCUCUCCACAGGUUAAAGAAGCCCAGUGAACCCCAAGCUUGAUAAUAAAAAGAUAUCCAUACCUAGAUACAUCGAGAACAAAUUAUAACCAACAAAGAAAGUGCAUUAAAAGUAUCCAGAGAGAACAGACAGCUAACCUUCAGAUGAAGAACAAAGACAGUCACAAUGAAAGUCAAAGGAAACAAUAUAUUCAAAGACCUGAAAAAAAUUUAAAAGCUGACAACCUAGAACUGUACACUGUGAAAUAUCUUUCAGAAAAUGGGACAAAAGGAGGAUGUUUUCACACAAAAAUAUCAUGACAGAUUGCUACCAAUAGAGAACCAGUAAGGGAAAUUCUAAAGGAUGUAUUCUAUACAGAAUGAAAUUGAUCCCAAAUGGAAGAUUCAAACACAAAAG
rnacentral:lncRNA from 1 species